AUGCACGCUGGCGGCGUGCCUCAUACAUGCCAGUCGAGCGAACAGACGAGGAGCUUGCUCCUCUGACGUUAGCGGCGGACGGGUGAGUAACACGUGGAUAACCUACCUAUAAGACCGGGAUAACUUCGGGAAACCGGAGCUAAUACCGGAUAAUAUAUUGAACCGCAUGGUUCAAUAGUGAAAGACGGUUUUGCUGUCACUUAUAGAUGGAUCCGCGCCGCAUUAGCUAGUUGGUAAGGUAACGGCUUACCAAGGCAACGAUGCGUAGCCGACCUGAGAGGGUGAUCGGCCACACUGGAACUGAGACACGGUCCAGACUCCUACGGGAGGCAGCAGUAGGGAAUCUUCCGCAAUGGGCGAAAGCCUGACGGAGCAACGCCGCGUGAGUGAUGAAGGUCUUCGGAUCGUAAAACUCUGUUAUUAGGGAAGAACAAAUGUGUAAGUAACUAUGCACGUCUUGACGGUACCUAAUCAGAAAGCCACGGCUAACUACGUG
rnacentral:rRNA from 1 species